CAUGGCGGGGAAGCGGACAAGGCCGGGUGGCCUGGCGUCUACAGGGAAGGGGGCGGGACUAGACGCGGCCUUGACAACUAGUAGAGCGCCUCGGGCUGUGCGGCUCGAGACUACAUUUCCCAGGGGGCCCCGCGCGGAGCGGGCGGAAAAGAGAGCGUUUCGGGUCCAGUGCGCAGGUGCGAAAGCCAUCUUUGGUUAUAUAAGGGAGGUUCAGGAGGCCAUUCGUUCUUUCGCGUCCGCGGCGCUGUGAGUGUGGUGGUUCCGCAGGUUGCAGUCAGGCUUCGUACGCUGUUGUCCUUCCCGUGAGUUCCCGUUUUGUGUGUGGUUAGAGCAGCCAGCGGGUACAGAAUGGAUUUUGGAGGAGGGAGUCACCACUGGACCUCCAAGGAAGCCACGUGCAGACAUCUACAACCUUCGAUCUCUUGACGAGUUUAUUGUUGGCUAAAACCAACCAGGAUGAAGGCGGGCGUUGGAAGUAGAAUAUAUAUAUAUAUACAUAUAAAAUUGGUUGGGAGCCACGUGUACCAGUGUGUUGAUCUUGGCUUGAUUCAGUCUGCCUAGUAACAGAAACUGGCGAUGGUAUAUGAGAGGAGCCCUCUGGAAAGAAAAGGACAGACCCUGUGCUUUCAUGAAAGUGAAGAUCUGGCUGAACCAGUUCCACAAGGUUACUGUAUACAUAGCCUGAGUUUAAAAGGCUGUGCCCAUUUGAAGAAUGUCAUUGUUAGACUUUGGUGAAAUUUCUAACUGCCUACCUGGAUAAAGAAAAUAAAAUCUUUUAAAUCAAAA